rnacentral:SRP_RNA from 2 species
GCUGGGCGUGGUGGUGGGCACCUGUAAUCCCAGCUACUCAGGAGGCUGAGGCAGGAGAAUUGCUUGAGCCCGGGAGGCAGAGGUUGCAGUGAGCUGAGAUCGUGCCACUGCACUCCAGCCUGGGCGACAGAGCAAGACUCUGUCUCAA